AGGCAGGGUCUGGGGUCCCCGCGGGGUUCGGCUUUCCCGCCUCAGGCUUCCAGAGCGCCAACGACGCACUAGGCGCCCUGCAGCCGAAGUGGGCACCGCCUGUGCCGGGACAGCACGUGGGGCGCGCUUAUCAAAUGUUCACUUUUGUUACCUGCAUUCUUCCUAGUGCCAGCUCUGCCACCGAGUGGCCGUGGAGCAGCAAGUCUCUGCCCUUUACAGGGCCUCAGUUUCCCCUUUGUACCACAAAAGGAUUCACCAGAGUAACCUCACGCAUGUUGAGAAGCAUGUGCGGCACUUGGCCCGCGAUGGGGGCGGGGGGAGAUUUUCUCCCAGGUGCUGGGGUACGCCCAGCCUGGGACAGGAGCAGGCAGUUGUCCCCAGGCAAUUACGUAGGCUCUAGGCCACCUGUGAGGUUUGAACUCAUGACCCUGACAUCGAGUUGCAUAGUCCGCUGACUGAGCCAGCCAGAAAAGCGCCUGCCAUGAAUCCUUCUGAAAAGAUCACCAACACUUCCCGGAGAGAGUGGAGGCAACAAGACCACAUUGGGACUCUACCUUGAAAAGGAAACGAAAAAUGAUGAAGAAAGACUAGCUUCAACUCACUAACACUAUUUAGAUUAUGAUUGGAACCAUGCAGACAUUAGAAUGAAGAGUUGGUCCUUUACUGAAACAGGGUCAUUUUUGCAAAUAUAUUUGAGAGUUUCACGUGCAAAUGUUGCUCUGAAUCCUUUGGUAGUCUAACAAUUCUCUCUGGAAGGACGCGAUCAUUUCUCUUUAGCGAUGUUCUCUUCCUCUGUGGACAAUGCCUUCAUUUGUCCCAUGUCACUUUAACCAACUUCAUGAAGCCCUGCGCUUUUUGCAACAUUUGCA